GUCGGGCGGCGGCGGCACCUCGCCGACAGUCGGGGACGGGCGAGGGGGGGGCCGUGGGGCGCGGGGAGACCGGGUGGAGGCGGCGGCGGUCGUAGGAGCGGAGAGGGCUGUCGCCGGGCGGGCUGUGGGGCGGCGAGGCGGCCGCGGCUCUUUGUCUGCCUCAGCCCAAAAUGGCUGCAUGUUCUCCCUGUGUCCGGGUCUCCCUCGGCGGCGCGAGUCUGAAGGGCGCCCCACACCUGUGCCAGCUGCAUGUAACUGAUCCGCCGCCGGCGGCGGAGGGGGGGGAGAGGGCGGGCGGCCCCGGGCGAGGAGGAGCGGCCUCUCCGUGCCGCCCCGCGCCGAACCCCGGAGCGCUGCCCGCGGAGGCGGCUGCAGGCCGGGAGCGGCUCCUCCGGCCCCGAGCGGGCUGACUCAGCACGGCUGAAGGCUGAGGGGAGCCCCGGGAAGCGCGGCCCGAGGAGGCGGUGCGGUGCGAUCUGAGCGCAGGGAAGGGAGAAGGAGGAGGGGAGGGGAGGAAGAAAAAAAAAAAAAAAAGAGAGGGAGAUGACAAUUUUAAACAGUCCACUCCCAGCGCCGAGCCGGCACCGCGAGGCGGGGGAGCUGCCGCUCCGGGGACGAUCCCCGGGUGUGUGUCAGCCCCGCGUUACACCCCCGCCUCUGCUUAACCCUUCGGGGAACGGCGGCGCGGGGGCUGCGGGGCCGGGCCGGGCCCAGGGCCGUACGGCGGAGUGCACUUUGACCCGUUGUGCAACCGCCGGUGAGGAAGUAAAUAAAGCGCAGAUCCAACCCGCUGUCUUUUGCCGGCUGCUCUUUCUAAAGGUUAUGAUGCUGUGAAGUAGUUGCCUGUUGCUUAAAAGGCAGGAAAGCUGCUUCAAGCAGGGUCAUCUCUAUCACUUUUUUGCUGCCACGGUCAAGUACAUUGCUAGUUUUAGCUAUGCUGAAAUUCUAUAAGCAACAUUCCAAAGAACUCUCUAGAAUAGAAGUCUCUCUGCAUUCCCAAAACAGUGGAAGAAUUAAUCUACUCAGCUGCUCAAGUGAUUUAUCGGGGUUGGGGGUGCUAGGCUUAAGCUGAAGCAACCUGAAGGUGCAGUGGCCGCGUGUCUUUCUUUCACAGCAUCCAAAUAGGAGCACGGCCUGGAGCUGGGAUGCAGUGUUGGUAGGAGCCAUGUGAGAGAUGGAUUAAAUUAUCGCGUGGCAGUGGUAGUCAGCAUGAAGGGGCAGAGCAGCCUCUGUUCUUCUACUGCUUGUAUUUUAGGACAGCUGGAAUGCAGCUUACAGUUGCAUACAAAAUUAGAAAUAAAAACUUAGAAAUCAUCAUGUCUUUGUUCUAACGCUUUCUUUAUUAGUAUACCAUAUGGCAUAUUUACCAUAUUAGGCAAAUGACUGUACCGAAUUACAAGAGCAACUGAGAUGCAUUACAACUUGUGCAUUGUAAGUGUGUAACAUUUAUUACUGAAUAAUUUAUCUUUUCGUACUCUACCUCUCAUUUGCUAUUGGAAGUCACUUUUUAGUCUGAGUUCUUCAGGACUGGGACUCCAGCUCCUCUGAUUUGAACUGCUCACCUUCUGUUUUAAACUGUAAAAAGAGCAGCUAGCAUAGGAAUCCUGGCAGUGGAUUGCUGGUGUUGGUGCAGAGAGAGUCAGACUCUCUAUGUAGGAAAUAGUACAUAUUUCACCCAUCAGCAAUUACAUCAUGAAGUCUUAAACAUUAGAGGCAAGUAUGGAUUCUCCCUAGUGUCAAAGAGCACAAAUUAGCAGGAGCUAUACAGGAAACAUAGAGGGCUGUAAGUCCUUUUAACAUGCUCUGUUUUGUAUAUUAUUAUUUGAAAUACUUAUUUUUUUCCCCUAGAAUUAGGCUGUGUAGACCAUGGCACAGGGACUGUCUCAGGAUACAAGUGCUAAUGCAAUUCUCUAUUUUCAAAAACCUGGAGUCAGCUGAGAAUUCUUCACAAGACCAUCCAGCAGAGAUGACAGCAAUAUGGAUUACUGUAAUAAGGGAUGUAUCAGAAGAGUCUGCAGUCUGGAGAUGGCUUGGGGGAAGAAGGGUAGUUGCUUUGGGGUGUCUAUAUGCAGCUCCUUCGAGUCUUAACUGCCCAGUCGCAACUCUGAACACCCAUCAAUAAAGGAUGAAAACCUGA